GGGGGGGUGGGGGGCCCUCCCCGAGGCUGCGGGCCGUGAGGACCGCUUGUGGCAUCUCUGACUGUGUUUCUCAGUGAGCGAGGAACCACGUGCAUACUGAACUGGGACAAUCCUCUCAGAGUGUGAAAAUCUCUCCGCCCCACCCCAUCUUGCUAUGCCGAGAAAGAAGGAGUAUGCAAGAGACAAAGGAAAGAGCUGGCAUCUUCCUUCGCUUGGCAGACCACAGGGAGAGCUGCUUUUCCAGUCAUAUUUAUUGUACUGGACAAAAGUAUCCAUCCAUGACGGAUUGAAAUUAAUUAACAAACCAACCAACACAAACAUGACCGGUCCUACAUCGGCAGAUAGUUUGGGACUCCCUGCGUGAUGCCAUGCCAUCUCAAGUCAAGAGGGGAGAUUCAGAAAAAUCGGGACUACAUCAGAGGCUCGCCCCCGCCUGGGCAACGCAGGGGCACUCAAGCCUGAGGGGGCCAGGCUAUAACCUGGAAGGGGUGGGUCCUCAUUGCUUUCUGUUUCCGAGUUUCCCAGGGGCCUCGCUACCACAGGGAAGUGCUGGGUAGGUAUUGGCGGGGGGCUUGGGCUAAGUCAAUUCCAUGUCCCAGCGCCCCAGUCUCCUCACCUGGAACUGGGUCACCCGCAAGUGGGUCGGCGGCGCGGUCCCUCCCCGACAUGCCUGCCACCUGCCCUGAAGAAGCAGCAGGUCUUCACCCGGCCGCCCGAUCUGUAGGUUGACACCGUCUUGCAGGUGAAUGUGCCAGCCCCGGCAGCGCCCUGGUCCUCCGCACCCAACCUGGCCCGUUCUGGUCUGGCCAAGGAACAAGCGCUUUCUUUUUAUGAGCCUGCAAACCUCCAGCCUCCCAGCCUCCCAGCCUUCCAGCUGGCUGGGCGCCAGGGGCCGGGACUGACACACAGGCCCCCAUCACCACCCAGACCCACGGCCCCGGCUGCUCCCGAUUCUGGAGCGGCUGAGUCACCUCGCCUCCAUGAAAGACUUCCAAAAGAAUAAAGCAACAGGCUGUCCUCGGGGCCUGCGGAUUGCAAUCUAUCAGCACGGCUGCGUUUGGGCCUCCGUUUUCUGCAAGCCACGAACGCCUCUAAUCCGGAGAAGCAGAAUGUGGGUGUCGAAUUGUGAACUGU